rnacentral:rRNA from 1 species
AGGGCAAGUCUGGUGCCAGCAGCCGCGGUAAUUCCAGCUCCAAUAGCGUAUAUUAAAGUUGUUGCAGUUAAAAAGCUCGUAGUUGAAUUUCGGGGUCAGCAGGUCGGUCGUGCCAAUGGUAUGCACUGGCCUUGCUGAUUCCUCCCUCUUGAUGAGCCGUAAUGCCAUUAAUUUGGUGUUGCGGGGAAUCAGGACUGUUACUUUGAAAAAAUUAGAGUGUUUAAAGCAGGCAAGCGCUUGAAUACAUUAGCAUGGAAUAAUGAAAUAGGACGUUUGAUCCUAUUUUGUUGGUUUCUAGGAUUGACGUAAUGAUUAAUAGGGAUAGUUGGGGGCAUUAGUAUUCAAUUGUCAGAGGUGAAAUUCUUGGAUUUAUUGAAGACUAACUACUGCGAAAGCAUUUGCCAAGGAUGUUUUCAUUAAUCAAGAACGAAAGUUAGGGGAUCGAAGACGAUCAGAUACCGUCGUAGUCUUAACCAUAAGCUAUGCCGACUAGGGAUCGGAUGAUGUUAAUUUUUUAAUGACUCAUUCGGCGCCUUACGGGAA